AUUGAACGCUGGCGGCAUGCCUUACACAUGCAAGUCGAACGGCAGCACGGGAGCAAUCCUGGUGGCGAGUGGCGAACGGGUGAGUAAUAUAUCGGAACGUGCCCGGUCGUGGGGAUAACGUAGCGAAAGCUACGCUAAUACCGCAUACGAUCUACGGAUGAAAGCGGGGGAUCGCAAGACCUCGCGCGAUUGGAGCGGCCGAUAUCAGAUUAGGUAGUUGGUGAGGUAAAGGCUCACCAAGCCAACGAUCUGUAGCUGGUCUGAGAGGACGACCAGCCACACUGGAACUGAGACACGGUCCAGACUCCUACCGGGAGGCAGCAGUGGGGAAUUUUGGACAAUGGGCGCAAGCCUGAUCCAGCAAUGCCGCGUGCAGGAUGAAGGCCUCGGUUGUAACUAGCUUUGUUACGG
rnacentral:rRNA from 1 species